rnacentral:tRNA from 1 species
UUCAUGAAGGACUAGUGGUUAGGUCACAGCAGUUUCACUGCUACAGCCUGGGUUCAAUUCCCAGCCAGGGAA